UAGGGAAUCUUCCGCAAUGGGCGAAAGCUUGACGGAGCAACGCCGCGUGAGUGAUGAAGGUCUUCGGAUCGUAAAACUCUGUUAUUAGGGAAGAACAAAUGUGUAAGUAACUAUGCACGUCUUGACGGUACCUAAUCAGAAAGCCACGGCUAACUACGUGCCAGCAGCCGCGGUAAUACGUAGGUGGCAAGCGUUAUCCGGAAUUAUUGGGCGUAAAGCGCGCGUAGGCGGUUUUUUAAGUCUGAUGUGAAAGCCCACGGCUCAACCGUGGAGGGUCAUUGGAAACUGGAAAACUUGAGUGCAGAAGAGGAAAGUGGAAUUCCAUGUGUAGCGGUGAAAUGCGCAGAGAUAUGGGGGAACACCAGUGGCGAAGGCGACUUUCUGGUCUGUAACUGACGCUGGUGUGCGAAAGCGUGGGGAUCAAACAGG
rnacentral:rRNA from 1 species